GUGGGGAAUUUUGCGCAAUGGGGGAAACCCUGACGCAGCAACGCCGCGUGAGUGAUGAAGGCCUUCGGGUCGUAAAGCUCUGUCAGCAGGGAAGAAAUGUGGGAGGGCUAAUACCUCUUUCACUUGACGGUACCUGCAAAGGAAGCACCGGCUAACUCCGUGCCAGCAGCCGCGGUAAUACGGAGGGUGCAAGCGUUGUUCGGAUUUAUUGGGCGUAAAGCGCGUGUAGGCGGUCUUUUAAGUCUGAUGUGAAAGCCCCGGGCUCAACCUGGGAAGUGCAUUGGAUACUGGGAGACUUGAAUACGGGAGAGGGCAGUGGAAUUCCUAGUGUAGGAGUGAAAUCCGUAGAUAUUAGGAGGAACACCGGCGGCGAAGGCGGCUGCCUGGACCGAUAUUGACGCUGAGACGCGAAAGCGUGGGGAGCAAACAGGAUUAGAAACCCGGGUAGUCC
rnacentral:rRNA from 1 species